rnacentral:tRNA from 1 species
CUGACUUGUAAUCAGUAGGUCACCAGUUCGAUUCCGGUAGUCGGCACCA